rnacentral:tRNA from 1 species
GCAACCGUAGCUCAUCAGCGUAGAGCGUGGCGCUUAGCCAAGGUCGCGGGUGCAAGUCCCGCCGGUUGCA